GUUUCUCUUCUGAUCUGAAGGAUGAUCCACAUAACAAACUACUGACACUGCAAUUAUGACUCUCAGUAUUUAGAUGUCAGUCCAGUUUCCUCAGGAUCAGCUAAUGGUGAAUAAAGAACCGCUAGAGACGCCACAGUCACACAAUCAACAGAGACUGAAGACACA